CUAUUAUAUUAAAAUAAACUUAAGUAGUAAUUUUGUAUUCUUAAACUUAUUUAUUUUGACGGCAUUUUAUUUUAUUAAAGGAACCUGUUUUUUAAUCGAUAAUUCACGAUAAUUUUUCACUUUUAUUAAAAAUUUAUAUACCAUCAUCUUAAGAUUAAAUUUCACAAUAUAUUCUUAAUNAAUUUUAAAUAAAAAGUUAGAUCAAGGUAUAAUAAAUAUAAAUGUUUUAAUGUGUUACAUUAAAUGUAAUUUAAGGAUUAUUAUCUUUAUAAUUAAUAUAAAAAAGAAUUUAAAAGUAAUAUAUUUAAAUAAUAAUAAUUUUUGAAUAAAAUAAUAAAUGUGUACACAU
rnacentral:rRNA from 1 species